rnacentral:rRNA from 1 species
AUUGAACGCUGGCGGCAGGCCUAACACAUGCAAGUCGAGCGGAUGAAGGGAGCUUGCUCCUGGAUUCAGCGGCGGACGGGUGAGUAAUGCCUAGGAAUCUGCCUGGUAGUGGGGGAUAACGUCCGGAAACGGGCGCUAAUACCGCAUACGCCCUGAGGGAGAAAGUGGGGGAUCUUCGGACCUCACGCUAUCAGAUGAGCCUAGGUCGGAUUAGCUAGUUGGUGGGGUAAAGGCCUACCAAGGCGACGAUCCGUAACUGGUCUGAGAGGAUGAUCAGUCACACUGGAACUGAGACACGGUCCAGACUCCUACGGGAGGCAGCAGUGGGGAAUAUUGGACAAUGGGCGAAAGCCUGAUCCAGCCAUGCCGCGUGUGUGAAGAAGGUCUUCGGAUUGUAAAGCACUUUAAGUUGGGAGGAGGGGCAGUAAGUUAAUACCUUGCUGUUUUGACGUUACCAACAGAAUAAGCACCGGCUAACUUCGUG